AUGUUAGCUUAAGCUUACUCCAAGCGUCUGCAUUUGGUGUCAGUGAACGUGUCACCAGACUUCGAACUGAAAUAGUAUUGCUUUUACAUAAAUAUAUUUGUGUUUCUAGAAAGAAACCUAAAAUGGAUACUUCCGUUAAAGCGUUUCUCUUUUGUCUUCAUUUCAUUUUUAUGCUAAUUGCAGUUUCAGUUGGCAAAAAGGAAGCUGAUCUUAAAGUGACAUCAACGUUUAAACCAGAUGAAUGUUCGUCGCUAGCAGAAGAUGGUGAUGAGGUUGCAGUCCAUUACACAGGGUAUCUGGACUCUGGAACAGUAUUUGACUCCUCAGUAAAAGCUCAGCGAGAUCCACUUGUCUUCAAACUUGGAGAAAAACGAGUAAUUCCAGGUUGGGAAAUGGGUAUCAAGGGAAUGUGUGUAGGGGAAAAAAGAAAAUUGGUGAUACCACCUCAUCUAGCCUAUGGCAAGAAGGGAUUUCCCCCAGCAAUACCAGAACAGGCAACACUUACAUUUGAGACCGAGCUCAUCAGCCUACAAAAGAAGGCGUUCAAUCUUCCUAUAAUGAAAACCGUACAGCUCAUGGCAAUACCCCUAUUCAUUGUGUAUGUUGCCUACUACCUCUAUGACCGCUACAAGAAGGAAACAGCAGAAACAAAGGAGACAAAAAAGAGCAAGAAACGAAAGUAAUAGACUGGAAGGUUUCAAAACUAUUUGAGUUGAAAUCAUAUUCUUUGAAUUCAAAGAGUUUACUUCCUGAAGAUGACCCAGCUGUGGUGUGUAUCUGAUGCUCUAAAGAGUUAAGGAAGGCAGUGGGGAAGAGGAAAGGGACACUGCCCUAAGAUAAAUGAGGGCUUUAACUCCACAUUCUCCAGUAAGCCUUAUUACUUUUUUUUUUUUUUUUAAAUAAAAACUUUUUAUUUUACCGAGUUAUUGUACUUGCUGUUGCAUGGAGUGACCAAAUAAAAUUACCUGACGGUUAUAGUCGCAUGCAGAACCCAGAAUAUUCUUUUCAUGCAUCUUUUUCCAAGUGUUGCUGCACUUCUCUCACAUUUUUAAUUUUUGGAAUUGAAGCAGUGCAUUAUUGUUUUUAUCAAAGCACUUCUUGUUGGUGAAUAUCUUCCUUGGUAAUUUUGCAUUUGAAUUUGUUAGAUUUUGUGGGAAGAAUACCAGAUGUUUCCUGUUUACUUUUAGGCAUUCAUUAAAAAAACAAUUUAAGGAAACUUUUAAGAAAUUUAAUAAAAGGUAAAGGCAAAAGUCUGGUAACGUAGUUUGCUGUAGAGGCAGAAGACUGUUUGUUGUUCACUAUGUCUAAGACAAGGAAUGCAUAUGCUGAAUUUUGAUCCUCUAAUUUUUCAUCCCUUGCUGGUGUAAAGGGUUCCCUUCAUUUCUACUCCCUGAUAAUUUGUAUCUUUGUGUCAAUCUUUGCACAUCAUGUAGACAAUAUAUGUUUGGUCCUAGCCCUUUUGUGAUCAGAUAAAGGUUUUCUUUGAUGUUUUUCCUUAAUGUUUUUAUCACAGGGAAACCAUUGGUUGACUUUUUAAUUUGUGUGAAUCAUUUCCAUUUUUAAUGGGUAACUGGAUGUACAAAACAUAAGAUUGUUCAUUAGCUCAACAACAACUAAAAAAAUCCAAGCAUUUUGUCCUUGGAGAAUGCACAAAUAAGGCAUCCGGCAAUCAGAACCUAAACAUUUAGAAUCACUAGCAGAUCAGCAGUCAUGUGUUUAUCUUGAACUGUUGUGUUUUUUCUCCCAUAAUAAGUGUGAUUCUCUGAAUGCUGUGAAAUAUUAAGAAAGUUUGCUUGCAUAGCACCUUACUCCUGCCCUGGGUAAGCUCAAGGCACUUCACACAAAAAAAGUUAUGCCACAGUCUUGUUCACAGAUUUCUUCAAGGGCACAGUACUGACUGGUCUCAAUACAAUGGAAACAUUUAUUACCACCAAAUAUAUUUUAUAUGCAGAUUUGAAUAGAUAACCAGAGUUAAACUGAAGGGGAGAUAGAUGACACUGUUUACAGGUUUAAAAAUAAUCUGCAUACUUUUGUUAAUUUUAUUACUGUCCCCCUCCUUGGUCAUCAAAAAAGAUGUAGUACUUUACUACUCCUAAAAUGACAUGGCAGCUCAUUGCAGUAUUUUUUUCAUGCUGUGUUUAAAGAAGAGAUUUAAAAAGGAUUCUCAUGUGAUAAAACCUUUCACUCAAAACUUGCUGUUUUGUCACCUUUUUCAUUCAAGAGCUUACUAAUUAUAUGGAAUGACAGCUCAGCCAGAUGGUUUUUUUUUCUUUCUGUGCAUAUGUAUGUCUGUUGAGAAUAGGAGAGCCAGCUUUUUAAUAUCAAUUAAUGCAUACUGUUUUAUGAGAUGUUGGGUCCACCAUAAUUUAAAUGUGGUAUUAGUUGUGUAACCCACUUCUGGAAAUACAGAGUUAUGUGUCGGUUUUAGCAAGAAAGAGUGUACAGUUCUUUCUGUCAACAUAGAAAAUACAACAAGUUAAUUCUGUCCAUCUUGUUUUUAUGGAGAUUAGAAUGCCUAUUUGUGCUUGCAUACGAAAGAGAUGUUUCCAUGGUGCCUUUAUUAAUUAUAAAUUUGAUCUUAAUGGUUGCAAGAUGGGUAUCUCAUCACUUGUGUCAUUAAAUGUGACUGGUAGCUGGGGAUAAUUUUUUAAUUAAAAUUGUUGAUGUAGAAAUGUUGCAAAACUUUCUGACAUUUAAGUGAUUAAAAGUGUUAUUUUUAUA
rnacentral:misc_RNA from 1 species